UACAGAGGGGGCGAGCGUUAUUCGGAAUUAUUGGGCGUAAAGGGCGCGUAGGCGGCCUGGCAAGUGGAAGGUGAAAUCCCUCGGCUUAACCGAGGAACUGCCCUCCAAACUGCUUGGCUUGAGUCCGGGAGAGGUGAGUGGAAUUCCCAGUGGAGCGGUGAAAUGCGUAGAUAUCGGGAGGAACACCUGUGGCGAAAGCAGCGCACUGGACCACAACUGACGCUGAGGCGCGAAAGCGAGGGGAGCGAACGGG
rnacentral:rRNA from 1 species